UACGUAGGGACCGAGCGUUGUCCGGAAUCAUUGGGCGUAAAGAGCGUGUAGGCGGCCACUUAAGUCCUGCGUGAAAUCUUGCGGCUCAACCGCAAGCGGUCGUGGGAAACUGGGUGGCUAGAGCGCGGGAGAGGAGAGUGGAAUUCCUGGUGUAGCGGUGGAAUGCGCAGAUAUCAGGAAGAACACCCGUGGCGAAGGCGGCUCUCUGGAACGCAACUGACGCUGAGACGCGAAAGCGUGGGGAGCAAACAGG
rnacentral:rRNA from 1 species